CUGUAAAGUAAAGGAUAAUAAGUAAUAGUAAAUUGAUUACUCUUAUGGUAUAGGAAGUUACCCCAAAUAACUGAGCGUAGCAAUACAUGUUAUUGGUUAGUCUACCUCCAAAACAAAUGCAUAGAGUUGGAAAAUUCAGCCAUCAUACCUCUCAUUGUGGGUCCGUGUUCCGUGAGUUACUCGGAGAGGCCGGAGAGAGCAAGCUCUCUCAUUAGCUGGCCUCCCUGCCAUAUUCGCAAGCUUUCACUGCAGAGGCUCUCACCAUGAAGAAUGAGGCACAAUCCGCUUUUGCAGUUUUAGAUUCUGCUUUUGUGAC